GGUGGAACGAUAAGUCGAUGGUGAAAGCCUACAGCUUAACUGUAGAAUUGCCAUUGAUACUGUUGUUCUUGAGUAUAGUCGGGGGAAGUGGAAUGCGUAAUGUAGCGGUGAAAUGCAUAGAUAUUACGCAGAACACCGAUCGCGAAAGCAGCUUCCUAGGCUAUUACUGACACUGAGGCACGAAAGCGUGGGGAGCGAACAGGAUUAGAUACCCUGGUAGUCCACGCCGUAAACGAUGCUCACUCGCUGUUGGCGAUAUAUUGUCAGCAGUUAAGCUAAAGCAUUAAGUGAGCCACCUGGGAAGUACGUCCGCAAGGAUGAAACUCAAAGGAAUUGACGGGGGCCCGCACAACCGGUGGAACAUGUGGUUCAAUUCGAUGAUACGCGAGGAACCUUACCUGGGCUUAAAUGUAGUUUGACUUCCGCCGAAAGGCGGUUUUCCUUCGGGACAAAUUACAAGGUGCUGCACGGCUGUCGUCAGCUCGUGCCGUGAGGUAUCGGGUUAAGUCCCUUAACGAGCGCAACCCCUAUUGUUAGUUACCAACAGGUUAAGCUGGGGACUCUAGCAAAACUGCCAGCGUAAGCUGGAGGAAGGUGGGGAUGACGUCAAGUCAGCAUGGCCCUUAUGUCCAGGGCUACACACGUGUUACAAUGGCCGAUACAAAGGGCAGCCACCACGCGAGUGGGAGCUAAUCCUUAAAAUCGGUCUCAGUUCGGAUCGAAGUCUGCAAUUCGACUUCGUGAAGGUGGAAUCGGUAGUA
rnacentral:rRNA from 1 species